UGAACUAGCUAACUGAAAUCCUAAAGAUUUUAAAUAAAUUGAUAGGGAUAAGGAUGUGAAAAAAAUGAUAUUAACAUAGUUAAAAACUUUGUUUGUAAAAGUAAAAAAAAAAAUAUAAGCUUGCCUAAUUUUAGGUUAGUUAUAUUUUACACUAUGUAUACAAAUAACCUUAUAGUGCUGUCCAAUGCUCGUGCCAGAAGACUCGGCAAUGCGAGUAGCGCAAACGUUAAUCGUCUUAUGCUGGCGUAAAGGGUGUGUAGGCUGUUUCUAACAAAUUUACAACAAAAAACUUUGCUUUCUUUCUUGCUUGCUUGCCUGUAAUAAAGAAAGCAAAAAAGCAAUAAAGAAAAAAAGGUAUUAAAUUUUAUUAGAAUCUAGAAUCAGACCGGAGAUAAUCAAAAAAAUGUUUAAUCAAGGGCCCAUAUCCUAAUAAAUUUUUACGGAAUACUAAUUGGUGAAGACUUUUUAUCUACUGAUGAUUGACGCUGAGAAACGAAGGUAAGGGUAUAAAAUAGGAUUCGAUACCCAGAUAUUCCUUACUGUAAACGAUGAAUGGUAGCUGUUAGUUUUUAACUGGUGGCGAUGUUAACGCGAUAACCAUUCCGCCUUGCGAGUACGGUUGCAAAACUGAAAUCAAAAAAAUUAGUCGGUCUGGAGCAAACGGA
rnacentral:rRNA from 1 species